rnacentral:lncRNA from 1 species
AUGCGAAGUAGCACUGUUAUAUCGUGUAGGUCUUGAAACUGCCAGGCAAUGCAUACAUGGCACAUGUCGAGCUAUAUGGGCAUGCCUCAAGGAUCAUUUCAUGAAAACACCAACCCAAGAUGAGUGAGAGAAGAUUGCUCAAGGAUUUUCUACUCGAUGGCAAUUCCCCAACUGCUUGGGCGCUGUCGAUGGAAAGCAUGUGGCAAUCACAUGUCCACCAAAUUCUGGAAGUAAUUACUUCAACUACAAGGGAACAUACUCGGUUGUACUAAUGGCUGUCGUUAACAGCAGCUGCAAGUAUGUGCUUGUUGAUGGGGCUGAAGGCCGCGUAAGCGACGGAGGUCUAUUUAAAAACUCGGAAUUUGGCAAGGCCCUUGUGAAAGGAGGCCUGAACAUACCCUCGCUUGGCCUACUCGCAAAGACUACAACAGCUGUGCCCCACGUCUUUGUAGGGGAUAAAGCCUUUCAGUUAAGAAAAGACUUCAUGCGCCC